rnacentral:rRNA from 1 species
CCUACGGGAGGCAGCAGUGGGGAAUUUUGGACAAUGGGGGAAACCCUGAUCCAGCCAUUCCGCGUGAGUGAAGAAGGCCUUCGGGUUGUAAAGCUCUUUCGGCAGGAACGAAACGGCGGACUCUAACAUAGUCUGUCAAUGACGGUACCUGAAGAAGAAGCACCGGCUAACUACGUGCCAGCAGCCGCGGUAAUACGUAGGGUGCGAGCGUUAAUCGGAAUUACUGGGCGUAAAGCGUGCGCAGGCGGUUUUGUAAGACAGGCGUAAAAUCCCCGGGCUUAACCGGGGAACUGCACUUGGGACUGCAAGGCAAGAGUGCGGCAGAGGGGGGUAGAAUUCCACGUGUAGCAGUAAAAUGCGUAGAGAUGUGGAGGAAUACCGAUGGCGAGGGCAGCCCCCUGGGUCGACACUGACGC